rnacentral:rRNA from 1 species
UACGUAGGGUGCGAGCGUUGUCCGGAAUUAUUGGGCGUAAAGGGCUCGGAGGCGGUCUGUCGCGUCGGGAGUGAAAACUCAGGGCUUAACCCUGAGCCUGCUUCCGAUACGGGCAGACUAGAGGUAUGCAGGGGAGAACGGAAUUCCUGGUGUAGCGGUGAAAUGCGCAGAUAUCAGGAGGAACACCGGUGGCGAAGGCGGUUCUCUGGGCAUUACCUGACGCUGAGGAGCGAAAGUGUGGGGAGCGAACAGG